UUUUUUUUUUUUUUUUUGUGUUUUUUUUUUUUUUUUUUUUUUUUUAGAAAAAAAAAAAAAAAAAGAAAAGGACGAGGCAAAGAAGACUUACAGAUCAAAAAAGACA
rnacentral:ribozyme from 12 species